rnacentral:rRNA from 1 species
UACGGAGGGUGCGAGCGUUGUUCGGAUUCACUGGGCGUAAAGGGCGCGUAGGCGGUCGGGUAAGUCUGAUGUGAAAUCUCACAGCUUAACUGUGAAACUGCAUUGGAUACUAUCCGGCUAGAGGAAUGGAGGGGAGACUGGAAUACUUGGUGUAGCAGUGAAAUGCGUAGAUAUCAAGUGGAACACCAGUGGCGAAGGCGAGUCUCUGGACAUUUCCUGACGCUGAGGCACGAAAGCCAGGGGAGCAAACGGG